rnacentral:rRNA from 1 species
UACGGGAGGGGGCAAGCGUUGUUCGGAAUUAUUGGGCGUAAAGGGUGCGUAGGCGGUUUGGUAAGUCUUAUGUGAAAUCUACAGGCUCAACUUGUAGUCUGCAUGAGAAACUGCCGGGCUUGAGUAUGGGAGAGGUGAGUGGAAUUCCUGGUGUAGCGGUGAAAUGCGUAGAUAUCAGGAGGAACACCUGUGGCGAAAGCGGCUCACUGGACCAUAACUGACGCUGAUGCACGAAAGCUAGGGGGAGCAAACAGG